AUUGCGGCAUCAGAAUUCGGCAAUUUUACGUGAUCGAAUGUUCGGCAACACAUACAAAUGUACAUUUUGGGCGCCAUUUUAGAAAUCAGAUUUCAUAUUUGUGUAUUUUUCGUCGAUCCCUCUUUCAUCUCGCAUCUCUCUCACCAUGCGACCGAAAAUCCUCUGCCGCCCCACUCCACCGCUCCCACCGCUCUCCUUCACCACCGGUCCACCACCAUCGCCUAGGCCGGCCCUGCUUAUCUCUUUAUUAUUAAUUUUAUAUUUGCUCUUUCUCUUUCUCUCACUUAAUUUCUCGUCUCUCUCUCUCACAGUGGUUGCCGCGUUCCACCUCUGCUCCAUCACUGCCUGAACACCUUUGGCGGUGAAGUCUCUCAUUCGUCGUCGCCGUCGCCAUCCCCUACUCGAUUUCAGCUGUUGCCGCGUUCCACCACCUCCGCUCCACCACCGCCUAAACACCUUUGACGGUGAAGUCUCUCAUUCGCCAUCGCCAUCCCUUACUCGAUUUCAGAUAAGCUUUGUCAAAAUUUCCAUUGCUAAUUAAUUUGUCCGAAUUUCUUUGUUGUCUUUCUUUUUCUGCUUGGUUUUGAGUUUCUAUGGUUCAGCUUGAGCUUUACUCAUUAAGAUCUGAUUUCUAGAAUAAUAAACCAAAUCUUUGAAUUAAUUUAAGUCAUUGGUGAUUCUCUAUUUAGUUAAAUUUCUUCCUCAAGCUACAUUUCACUCAUUUUCAUAUACGAAUUGGAUCUAUUUUAUGUUGCUUUUCUUAUUACAUUGUGGAGACUGGAGAAUCUGGGGUAGUUGGUGACUUGGUGUAUAUAAUUUGGAAAUGUAAGAUCAUGAAUGUAUAUAUGUUGUCUUAGGGGGCAUUCGAUUGGCUGUGUUAUGCAACAGAUAAAACUAACCGCCAACAUUUGAAAUAUUAGAUCGUAACCGCCCCAAAAUAUAAAUAAUCUUAGCCAGAAUUCAUGCAAAUCCAUACCCACUUUUGCCCGAGUCACCUUCCUUUUAGACCCCUUUCAUUGCCCUAUCCAAAUAUUCUACUGCUUAUCUCCAAUCAAUCUCCUUUAAACAUCCAUUAGUACUAGAAACAUUUCAUGUAGUUGGCAAGUUGGACACUUGGACUUGAAGAGAAUCUAUCAUAUUAAUUAGAAUAAUAUAGUCACAUAUGUUGAAGUGUAAGAAUUCCCUACAAUUGUUGGACAGAUUGAACUAAAUAGCUGGAAUAUACUAAAAAGUUGCCUUCCCAUAUCUACUGACUACAAAACAUAGGAAAUGCUUCAGCCCUCUCCCUGUCCUUCUUUUCCAAUCACUCUAUUCCUGAUAGCUCAGAAUUUUGGUAUUAGGCGCUUUAAGUUAUAGUGUAAUUUAAUAAUUUAAACUAUGCAAACAAAUUAUAUGUUCCGCAGCAUGUUUCUGAACCUUUCCUUAUAUACUACAUCAUCUAAAUAUACUUGUGCCUUUUGAUAUAGUUUAAUUUGUAUAAUGUGAAUUGCUUGAUGUGGUUUCUCUUUGUUGUUAUACUCCAUUUUUAGGUUGCAAACUACGGUGAAGGACUUUGUUUGGUGUUGCUUUACUCGUGAAAAAAGAGAAUGAUAAGUGAGAAACAAAAAGAGGUGGAAAUGGUGGUGAUUCAAAUAAGAUAGAAUUAUAUAUUCUAUUGUAGCUGUUAAGUCUCUAUUUUUUCAUAUGAAAACUGUUGGUUUUUACUUAAGUUAGUGUAGCAUGUCAGCUCUAUGUUAUUGAAACUCACUCUAAUUAGAAAAUUCAUACAUUUACACUAUAAUAUGUGUAGUUGAAUGCCAUAAUUUAUCUUAUCAUGAUAAAUCAACCAAAGAUAAAUGUUUUUUAUUUUAUUGCAAAUGAUUAUUAUGCAGUUUUGGGUCUGGUAAUAAUAAAAAUCUCGAAUUCAAAUUUAUUUUGUUAAUCUUGAUGUAUUAGGAUUUCCCAAUUUGUCUGUAUUUUUUUGUGUCUUCUAUUAUGCUGUCAUAAAAAAAAUUAUAAAAAAAUUGAGACGUAUGGGUUAGUCUACUUUCAAGAAAUUGUGCUUGCUUUAGGCUCUUUUGUUAUCAUGCAGUUUCCUUUCAUUUUUAGUGACAAGAGAGUACAUCAUUGGCCGUUGGAUUUGGCAAUAUGUAGGAAAUUAUUACUACUAUAGAACAAGGUAUGCAUUGAGGCUGUGAAUCACAAGCUGAGUCGAGGAGAUGAGAACGCCAUGGGAGCCGAGGAGACGUUGGUGGACCGGACGAAACCAUUCCUCACAGACGUCCACAGCUGCUCCCAGAAUCUGACCUCGAGCUGUGAAUCAUAAGUUGAGUCCUCAUAGGCAUUGAGGCAGUCGAGGUAGAGUAGGAGAUGCAUUUAUAUUGAUGUAUUUGGAAAUAUGUUGGGAGAUGCAAUUUUUGUUGUGUAUUUAGAAAUAUGGUGGAAAUACAAGUGAUGGUGUAAAUACAAUGAGGAGAACUGCCUUUUUUAUGUUGUGUACCUCUUGUUACUACAUACGAAAUGAAAGAGAUCAUUACAAUUUAAA